rfam:Thelohanellus kitauei scaffold04233-3, whole genome shotgun sequence.
UUUUAUAAUUAAGGUGUAGUUAAAAUUUGAGAAACAUUGGUGUAGAGAGCUCGAACCUCUCUACACCAACUAUCCAUAGAAACCUUCUAGGAGGCACCUAUGUGU